rnacentral:rRNA from 1 species
AUUGAACGCUGGCGGCAGGCCUAACACAUGCAAGUCGAACGGCAGCACAGAAGAGCUUGCUCUUUGGGUGGCGAGUGGCGGACGGGUGAGUAAUGUCUGGGAAACUGCCCGAUGGAGGGGGAUAACUACUGGAAACGGUAGCUAAUACCGCAUAACGUCGCGAGACCAAAGUGGGGGACCUUCGGGCCUCACACCAUCGGAUGUGCCCAGAUGGGAUUAGCUAGUAGGUGGGGUAAUGGCUCACCUAGGCGACGAUCCCUAGCUGGUCUGAGAGGAUGACCAGCCACACUGGAACUGAGACACGGUGCAGACUCCUACGGGAGGCAGCAGUGGGGAAUAUUGCACAAUGGGCGCAAGCCUGAUGCAGCCAUGCCGCGUGUAUGAAGAAGGCCUUCGGGUUGUAAAGUACUUUCAGCGGGGAGGAGGGCGGUGAGGUUAAUAACCUCGCCGAUUGACGUUACCCGCAGAAGAAGCACCGGCUAACUCCGUGCUAGCAGCCGCCGUAA